rnacentral:other from 2 species
GGUACCCUGCUGUGUUCGUGAUGCUGACACUCAGUUUUGUACCAACAUGAACAAAAAAGGUCUGACCUUCUUCAGGUGACGUGAUAGACAAAAGUCAAGAUUGAUCCUGUUAGUAAGACCAUCCUGCUUUAGCAGGUUCAAAACCCUCCAGCACACGGCAUGGCGGGGUUGUA